GAAGUUUUCAGAGAUGAGAAUGUGCCUUCGGGAACCGUGAGACAGGUGCUGCAUGGCUGUCGUCAGCUCGUGUUGUGAAAUGUUGGGUUAAGUCCCGCAACGAGCGCAACCCUUAUCCUUUGUUGCCAGCGGUCCGGCCGGGAACUCAAAGGAGACUGCCAGUGAUAAACUGGAGGAAGGUGGGGAUGACGUCAAGUCAUCAUGGCCCUUACGACCAGGGCUACACACGUGCUACAAUGGCGCAUACAAAGAGAAGCGACCUCGCGAGAGCAAGCGGACCUCAUAAAGUGCGUCGUAGUCCGGAUUGGAGUCUGCAACUCGACUCCAUGAAGUCGGAAUCGCUAGUAAUCGUGGAUCAGAAUGCCACGGUGAAUACGUUCCCGGGCCUUGUACACACCGCCCGUCACACCAUGGGAGUGGGUUGCAAAAGAAGUAGGUAGCUUAACCUUCGGGAGGGCGCUUACCACUUUGUGAUUCAUGACUGG
rnacentral:rRNA from 1 species